CACGUAGUUAGCCGGUGCUUCUUAUCUAGGUACCGUCACACAAAGCUUCGUCCCUAGCGAAAGGAGUUUACAACCCGAAGGCCUUCAUCCCCCACGCGGCGUCGCUGCAUCAGGCUUGCGCCCAUUGUGCAAUAUUCCCCACUGCUGCCUCCCGUAGGAGUCUGGGCCGUAGCUCAGUCCCAAUGUGGCCGUACACCCUCUCAGGCCGGCUACCCGUCGCCGCCUUGGUAGGCCAUUACCCCACCAACAAGCUGAUAGGCCGCGAGCUCAUCCUACACCGAAAAAACUUUCCACCACACACACUAAAGUGCGGUCCUAUCCGGUAUUAGACCCAGUUUCCCAAGCUUAUCCCGAAGUGCAGGGCAGAUCACCCACGUGUUACUCACCCGUUCGCCACUCGAGUACCCUGCAAGCAGGGCCUUUCCGUUCGACUUGCGUGUGUUAAGCACGCCGCCAGCGUUCGUCCUGAGCCAGGAUCAAACUCU
rnacentral:rRNA from 1 species